UAACUUCGAAAAAUAUAUUAAUCAACUAAUACCUUCGAGUAAUCAACUACUAAAUUAAGUCGAAACAAAAAUGAUAGAAACAUCAAAAUCAAAUAUCGAAACAUUAUACAUCUCUAAUAGAUUAGAUAAUAGAAAAAUAAACGAAAAAUCUCCAGGUUAGAGAAUAGAUUGAUAGUGGCCGAACAAAGAAGCACCACCGCAAUACCCCCAAGCCCAAUUAUAUGUGGCAAAACAAAGAACCAAUAAACAUAUUAAAAAAUAAAUUUAAAAUUGUAGUCGAUUACCGUAAUCAAAUAAUAAAAUUGUUUUAUGGAUCCAACCGAG
rnacentral:lncRNA from 1 species